GCGAAACUAAGGGCGGGGAGUCAUUCAGUCGUCUGAUCUCGGACCGAUAACAUGGAUCGCGUUGUAUCAUGUUACUGAUCGAUAACAGGGAUAAUACACAAGUAUCCGGAAUAUUAAUAUAUGGACGAUUAAUGAUCAAUUCGAUGAAUUUUCAUGGCAAUUUGAUUUUUGGCAACCUCCAUUUCUACCAUUGUCCUGUCAACGGUUGCUUCCUGAUGUUAGUCUCCCUGAUGAUAUUCGCUGGGAUAGUGCAGCAUCUUUGGUAACGUCCUCUGUUUCUUCUCUUCGAACGAAUAUCCUUCUAGCCGCGAGCUUCGACUGCGGAUGGAAAACGGCUCGUUGAGGCGUAAAGAAGAAGAAAAGAGCAGCAGAAGGAGCGAAGGAAAAGCCCUCCGAUCGAAAACUGUGAUUUCUCGAUAGUAUCUUUGGCUUAGAGACAACCGGCCCUCGAAGAUGUUCGAUAGAGAAAAUCCUUUAUCUCACGCUGAAGAAUAAGUCUGGAAAUCCUGAACGCGUUAGAUUCAUAAAUGCCUCGCGAGAUUCCAUUGAAUUUCCUAUGAAAAAGCGUUCAGCUGUGGGCGAUCUCGUUUGGAACAAGAAUAUCGUCUCGAGGGGAAAGCAGUGGGGAGAGGGAGAGCAUAAAGGAAGAAACGAAGAAGUCCGUCUUAAUUGUUGUCUGCCAGACGAACCUCUGAUGUGAUCGUGACUCCGAUGAUCAUUAGCACCGUGAGAAUUUUUCGCGUGACGAAAGCUGCGCUCGUGCUCCCGUUCCCGCGCGAAAAUCGCCAGAAGAAUGCAUGCAGACGCGUCGCCUACAAUAACACUCCGAGGGAAUGCCUCGAAGGGACAAAGGGAAGCUCCAUUUAUGUAGAUAUCUUGACGUUUAGAAACUGAUCGCUCUGUGCACAGGAAAGGAAGCCUAAAUUGUUUUCGGUGUGAAAUAUAUCUGGAUGCCUGACGUAAUUGAAUUUUGCUUCUCGUGGGAUCCAAAAAUUCGCAAAUUUUAUAGACAGGAAAUACGCUAUGUCUUCAUCUACUUGUACGUCGUAAUUUAUUAAUAAGUAGAUUAUGUGGUUGGAGCAAUUCCCUUUUUGAUCGUCUGAUUUUCCAAGCGUGCAGUGUACACAAUACAAUGACGAUGCGCUCUUAUGCUAUAUAGCACGACGUUAAUUAUUCGUUAAUUAUUCCUUUUAUUUUAACGUAAAAAACGCGUGGAUCUGAACAGGAAGGAAAGACCUCAGUGAAACCUCAGUGAAAACUACGCGAAUGAAGAGAGUAAACGAAUGCAACGAGCACGUCUACGCAACGAGGAAAAUAACUGUCUCAUCGUAGGGGCAUUUGAUCGAUCCAGAGGCACGAAAACGGGCACGUUCUAUAGGUGGUUCGGUGAAACCGAUCGAUUUGUCGCAUCUUGACCGAGUUUCCGGCGAGAACCACUCAGCCCUGUCCUCCGCGCCGCUCGUAAUCUGCCGGAACGACAACUUAAGCGUCGAAAAUCGAGUUGGAUGCGUCGAUGGAAGUAAUUCUCCGACGAGUUGGUGGUCGACCGCUGGAAUUAUUGUAGCCAGGAUGCAAUGCCCAAGGGAAAUACCGUUGGUGGCUUCUGGAGGGAUCAGUGGCGUAGCCUCAUGUAGAUGUAAAUACGUGAACAGUUUCGCGGGAUCAUCAACUGGCGCGCUAUUAUUCCACGGAUUAAUAAUUUAUUAGUUUGUGGCGUCGCACGAGAUGACGGCAGUUAUGCGAGGGAUCGGAGGAUAUUUACGCGUAGACAACUAUGAUGCACCGCGAUUGAACGGUCAACAAGGGAGCGUAACCCAAUAUUGUACUCGAUUAGCGAUCGAUUGCGAUCUUUGUCGAGUUAACAUUUAACGAUCCCCUUGGGAGUAUCCUUUGUAGAUUGUUCGAACAUUUUAUUUGCAGUCGAGUUAAGCAUUUAAUGUAACAGUUGGAUACUCGAGCGAUGAUACUUGUUGGAUACGAACGGAAUGAGCAUUCUUAUCGCAGUUUUAGGUGAAAGUAAAGGGAAAAAUCUGGUAGGUUCGAGUGUAACCGAAAUGUUAUCACCAUGAUCCGUUGAUAAGCUAUCGUGGGAGGGGAUAAUUAGCCGAAAGAUGAGGUACAACGUCGGCAUAAUCGUAACCAGCGAGAAUCGUAAUUACGCGGCUCACCGCGAUACCAUAAUAACAAGUUGCGAGAUUUGCACGAGGAACUUCUUAUCGUCGCGCCCUUCCCGCUGUUUAGCGAACUUGGUCGCUUCUUCUAACCAGAAAGUCGGGCCAGGGCAAUUUAAUAGCUCAUUAGCAACGCCAGGCCGCAAAUUUGUCCGAGAUAAUAUCUUUUAACCAGACGACUUUGAUAAUGUAUUCCAAAUUUUCAAAGAGCGUACAAUAUUUUUCCUGUACGUAGAAAGUUUAUGUGUAUUACAUCGCAAUAUUGCACGCUCUUCUAUCAACUUCAACGGCCAACGCUCCAUAUGAUAAAGGCAAUAAAAAGUUAAAGAGAGAAUUCGCGCGAAAAUUUCAAAGAAGCACGAUUUAAUAAAGUAGCAGCGAGCAAGUUUUGCAUGUCAAAAGUCCGAAAGUGUCUCGAGAGCCAGUAACGAACCAUGGCAGAGGCUUUGAAUGAAACAAACGAGCGAUUCCAAGCCGAGGAACAAACGAUACGAAUGAUAUUUCCGAAGAAAAAGUUUCGCGAGGCGCGCGCCACCGACAUAAUCAAGAGCGGUGAAGUUUCUCGACGCGAACUCGCCACUGAAGAAACGAACCUGCUGAAAGAGAAGAAGUCCGUAUAACGGACAAUGAUAAGUCAGACUCGUAAUUAGCGGACUUGCUCUCGAGUUCCACGCCAGUCCUGAGGAAACGGCUAGCUGUUUAAGCUUCUUUCUCCCCCUUCUUCGUCCUCUUCUUCUUCCUCUUCUUCUUCCUCUUCUUCCUGUACUUGAUGGACAGCUAGAAACGCCAAUUGGGCUCUCAAAAUCUUGUACCAGAUUUUUCCAUUUAUCUAUAGACUCGGUAACUAUCAAUAAGACCAAGAAUUUAUGAAAAAUUACGAAGUAUUAAUUUUCCAAAACAUUG